GUGAGGAAUAUUGGUCAAUGGGCGGGAGCCUGAACCAGCCAAGUCGCGUGAAGGAAGAAGGAUCUAUGGUUCGUAAACUUCUUUUGCAGGGGAAUAAAGUGCAGGACGUGUCCUGUUUUGUAUGUACCCUGAGAAUAAGGAUCGGCUAACUCCGUGCCAGCAGCCGCGGUAAUACGGAGGAUCCGAGCGUUAUCCGGAUUUAUUGGGUUUAAAGGGUGCGUAGGUGGUUUGAUAAGUCAGCGGUGAAAGUUUGCAGCUUAACUGUAAAAAUGCCGUUGAAACUGUCGGACUUGAGUGUUAAUGAGGUAGGCGGAAUGCGUGGUGUAGCGGUGAAAUGCAUAGAUAUCACGCAGAACUCCGAUUGCGAAGGCAGCUUACUAAGCUACAACUGACACUGAAGCACGAAAGCGUGGGGAUCAAACAGGAUUAGAUACCCUGGUAGUCC
rnacentral:rRNA from 1 species